AGCGAAAUAAUAGUAGCGAAGUUCCUGAUGUCACACUGCCAAGAAAAGCUUCUAGUGAGAAAACAACUGCCCGUACCGUAAACCGACACAGGUAGUCGAGGAGAGUAUCCUAAGGUGAGCGAGCGAACUCUCGUUAAGGAACUCGGCAAAAUGACCCCGUAACUUCGGGAGAAGGGGUGCUGACUUCGGUCAGCCGCAGUGAAUAGGCCCAAGCGACUGUUUAUCAAAAACACAGGUCUCUGCAAAAUCGUAAGAUGAAGUAUAGGGGCUGACGCCUGCCCGGUGCUGGAAGGUUAAGAGGAUGGGUUAGCUUCGGCGAAGCUCAGAAUUGAAGCCCCAGUAAACGGCGGCCGUAACUAUAACGGUCCUAAGGUAGCGAAAUUCCUUGUCGGGUAAGUUCCGACCCGCACGAAAGGCGUAACGAUUUGGGCACUGUCUCAACGAGAGACUCGGUGAAAUUUUAGUACCUGUGAAGAUGCAGGUUACCCGCGACAGGACGGAAAGACCCCAUGGAGCUUUACUGUAGUUUGAUAUUGAGUGUUUGUACCACAUGUACAGG
rnacentral:rRNA from 1 species